GAGUUUGAUCGUGGCUCAGAACGAACGCUGGCGGCAGGCUUAAGACAUGCAAGUCGAACGCCCCGCAAGGGGAGUGGCAGACGGGUGAGUAACGCGUGGGAACGUGCCCUAAGGUACGGAACAACUCCGGGAAACUGGAGCUAAUACCGUAUGUGACCGAGAGGUGAAAGAUUUAUCGCCUUAGGAUCGGCCCGCGUUAGAUUAGCUAGUUGGUGGGGUAAUGGCCUACCAAGGCGACGAUCUAUAGCUGUUCUGAGAGGAAGAUCAGCCACACUGGGACUGAGACACGGCCCAGACUCCUACGGGAGGCAGCAGUCGGGAAUCUUGGACAAUGGGCGCAAGCCUGAUCCAGCCAUGCCGCGUGAAUGAUGAAGGCCUUAGGGUUGUAAAAUUCUUUCGUCGGGGACGAUAAUGACGGUACCCGAAGAAGAAGCUCCGGCUAACUUCGUGCCAGCAGCCGCAGUAAC
rnacentral:rRNA from 1 species